rnacentral:lncRNA from 1 species
UUUUUUUUACUAUGAAAUGGUAAAAAAAAAUAUUUUUUAUUAUUAUAAAUAAAAAUAUAAUUUUUAAUUUAUUGAUUAAUUAUAAAUCCGUUGAACCGUUGUUGAACCAGUGAACCGUUACCGGUGCUUUGACCGUUCAAUGUCCGGUUCGGUUCUGAUACUAUUGAUCCAUUAUUUGAAUAGUUCCCAUCUCUAAUUCCUAUAUGAUUCUUUCUAAUUAUAGACAUUAGCCGAUCUUUCUUUCAAAUAGAAACGGGAACAUUCUAGAUUCUAUUGACGAACUUUUAUUGAUCCUUAUUAUUGAUCAAUAUUAUUCUCCAGAAUGGUAGAUUGACAAUGACUACCAUAUUCAUAUUUAUAUUUAUAUUUAACUAAAAGUUGUCUUUUUUUUUUAAUUGAUCAAAUAUACCCACUAACCAGUCUAUUUCAAUCAUUGUCUCGGCUAAUGAAGGUAAGGAAGAAGCUUUAUAUAUUUUAUAUUUGUCAUAAUUGUUACUUGUUAGCAGUAGUACUAUGGGAAAAUACAUUUCACCCCACGAUAGGUCGGAAAAACUUUAAUUAUCGUAUGUUCAUUGAAAAUAUACACCUGUUAGUUUUCAGGUGAGUUAUCAAAACUUGUUGUCCUUCAAUAUAAGUAAUAUUUUGUCGAACAAUAGAAAAAAUAAAAGACAAAAUAAAAAUAGGUCCAAUGAUUGGAAGAUAAUAUAUAGAAGAGUUAGUGUUGCUCUCUCUCUCUAGCGUGUUCAAGACUUUUGCAUGACUCACAUGACCGCCAUCUCUCUCUAUUUUGUUGUUCUGAUUAUUAUUCCGAAACUGAAUUGGCUCACUUGUGAUUUGCAUAUUCUUCGUUUUAAUAUAUAUGGGCCAACUGUUUUUUGGUAAUUGAGAAUCCAUUGGAAGACCAAUGCGUGAGUGAUUCGAGGCUGUCAAACCUUCCUAAUUACAAGGAAGUAUAUAAAGGCAGCUAUCUAAAAGACUUGAUCUUAUUCAACCAUCUUAGCAUUAUGGGGUUCUUGUUGUGCCCAAAACGAGUUACCAGUCCCUCACUAACAUCAACCACACACACAAGACAAUGAUUUACGUGGUUCGGCCAACAAUGCCUAGUCCACGGGAGGAAUCUGUUAAUCACUAUCAGAAAUGAAUUACAAUAAAUCCAAAGGAGGAGAUCACACUCCACUAACUCUUCUCGCUAUCUCACAGUCUUGCUCUUUCACUCACAGCACCUCACUCACUCUAUACUGCCCUCUUCCUCACUCUCUGUACUUCUCCCGCCUCCCUUCCCCUCUCUGAUCUGCUCUCCUUAUAGAGGAGAUCGGGCCUCCAUUGUUGACAAUCACCGCCGCAUCCUUCUCUCUCUGCCAUUCUUUUCCUUCCCGCCUUCUAAUCAGAGACUUUGUCUCUGACAGAUUGUCAAAUUGAGGCUGCUUCUGGAAGAGAGAUUGAAGGCAAUUGGUCAAGGCAUGGAAGACUUGUGCCUUGGGCUUUCUAUGUGGCUUAAUGGGCUUGCUCCCAUGGCUGAUCCAACAAUCUCCCCUCCAGUCCCAUUGGAGGGUAACUCUGAAAUCUUCAAGUUAAUCCAUCUCUGACACUUCUGUCCGCUCCCCCGUAAAAGAUCUGCAAGACUGCAUCCGAAGAUAUCUUGGCCCUCAUCAAUGGGCAAUGCACUUCCAGACUGAAUGCCUGCACCUUCUUCCUUAGGUGCUCACUCCCCUCACCGGAGGCUCCGCAAAGUACCUCACUUUUCGAGUCCGUCGUGGCCUCUCGCUCUCGCUCCCUGGUGUACCAUCUGAAGAGCUCACUGCCACUAAUCAAAUCGAGAGCAAAAGAGAACUCGUUUUCCGUCGACGUCGCGCCUGUCCGAUUUACAACUUCUUCAGAAUUCGACUUUGUUCUCCUUCCUCUGGACUUUUUCUAUGACAUCCUGCACUGGCGCACUGGUCCUUUUCUGGUCAUGACUUCCGCACGUGUCUCAAAGCAUCUCUUGCGUACCACUCUGGCUCCUCCAGGUGUCUCUGCGCUUGCUUUGUGUGCCUGUGUGCACCUCUGCUUCCCUUGUCCAUUCUUCCGUCUUAUAUCACUGGACCUAUGUCGGACAGCAUCUCUUCCUGUCUGGACAUUCCCCUCCAUUCGAUAUAGUCCUUUGAUCUUCCUUCCCUCGCAUCUCUUUGUUUCCUUGAAAUUUCUCAAGAUUCCUCCCUUAGCUCAAUGCUGCAACCCAUUGAUCUAGCAUUCCGAUGGAAGUAAAUUCUUUCGUAGUUUGGGAACAUGCCGUACCUCGGUCACACGUUUACGACCUCCCGUCUGCCAUGCGGACCACGCGAAAUUUUUUAUAAAUAUAAGUAUAAUAAAAAACCGGACUGUUUCCUUGCCACCACUUUGUUCCGUCGUGUUUUGUUCGCCAUCCGUACAAUCCCUCGCAUGUUGAUAUGUAGAGAACAUCGCCUGUCUCUACAAAAUGGUAGCACUUCCUGAAUCCAAUACCAGUCUGGAUUCUCAUCUGCCGAUGAGACUAGGAAUGCAUCAUUAUCGAUCUUCAUCACUGAUGCCGAUGCUGAUGCUGUCUCUGAAGACUGGAUCUGUGCUUUAUACUUGGGCAAUUUCCUCUUCAUAUGCCCUUCUGAUCACCGAAAAACACUUAAAACGGCGACCCCUUGAUUGGACUCGGCCGUCCUCUCCCAUUAUUCCUCUGUGACCUCGACCUCGUUCCCUCUUCCGUCUGAGAUUAGGGCCUGCGACUCCUUCGCUCUGUCAGCCCAUCCUUCUUCCGUGCUUCUUCGUUGAAUGGGCAUCCUUUUACUGUAUUCAAAGUCAACUUCCCAUCCUUCGCGGAAUUAUACGAGAGAAACACCAAUGUCUCCCAACUCUCAGGUAAAAACUCAGAAGCAGUAGGGCCCAUCUCUCGUCAAAUAUUAGUCAACACUGCUCAAUUGGUGACCAAAUUCUGGAACUCCUUGUAUGUUUCGCCACGGUCCCUCUCUGUAGUUUUCAAAAUUUACAAGCCUCCUCAGUUCAUAAGGCCUUGUUCGAGAUGUCUUCGCUUGGUAACAUCUUCUCAAUUUGGUCCAUACAUCGGAACCCUCGGCUCUUGUGGGCUACGUGGUGGAACCCCUCGUGUCCAAUGCACUGUCUGAUAGCCCGAUGUAUUUUUCUGUCAUCUUCGUCCACCUCCUCAUCCUUCUCUCUGCCGGUUUUUCUCCUUUAUUCUCUAAAGGAUCAUGCAAAUCUUUGCAAAUAGGAUGUCCUUCCAUCCGCGGAUUUCCAUAGAGCGGAAUUUUGUAGCUGAAAGCAUAAUCCAUAGCUCCCCAAAUUAGACUCCGCCAUAUUACUUCUCUAAUAGAAGCAAAAUCUUCGAAAACCGACCCCGCGGAUUGAUCCGGACGCCGAGAAAACUCAGAAUAGGCUUUUUUCGUCAAAAAAUCAUACACUUCUGGGACCCAAAUUGCAUCAAUUGAAACUUAGGGACUAACUUGAAAUUUUCAUUUUUCCAUGGACCUAAUUGCAAUUUCCAAAGUACCAGGGACCAACUGCAAUUUCCCAACUUCAGGACCAAUUGAAAAUAUCAGAAAUUCAGGUACCGAAGUAUUUUUCACUUUUCGGUCACGCUGGUGCUAAGGGCAACGUUGACCAGUCAACGGUCAGCGGCCCUGGUUACGCUGGACUUGACUGGUCCGCGGCUCGGCUGGUCAACUCGGUCAACGUCUCUAGCUUGAUCGUUAACGGCUCGGGUCACCCGGUCAACGACUCUUGGUUUACCGAUCGGCGCUUUCCGCUCUAUUCGCUCGCGCGUGUAUCAAACGCGAGGUUCUGCGCGGCUCGCGCGCGUAUCAGCGCGGCUCACGCCACGGAUCAACUUGCUUCGGCUGAGGCGCGUAGUCAGCGACUUGCCGCCACUUGCUGGCGCGUGCAAGGCGCGUGCGUGGCGGUGAGGCCACGUGGGCGCGCUGGGUUGGCGCGUGGCCGCGCGUCAGGCCUUCUCUAUGCGCUGUUCGGGCGCCGUGGCGCGCGUGGGCGUGAAUCUCAGUCGUCUUCAACUGCCUCUCCCGCGCGCGUGUGCGCGUGGAUCUGAUGCUCCUACCCUUCAUCGGCUCGUGAGGGCUGUUUGGAGUUCCGAUUUUGACUCCGUUUUGGUGCUGGAGCUUCGUAUCGAAGAGACGAGGUGAGGUAUACUCAAAUCUCAGUUUUGAGCAAUUCGAAUUUGGUCAGAAUCUCGAAGAUUUACUCCGGUUGGCACUCCGGUGACUCCGCGGGACUCGAAUUUGGCUCUGAUCCCAAUUGUUGUGCCCAAAACGAGUUACCAGUCACUCGACCAACUCACCCACACACACAAGACAAGAUUUACGGUCGGCAACAAUGCCUACGUCCACGGAGAGGAAUCUUUCCUUCACUAUCAGAAAUGAAAUUACAUAAAUAAAGGAAGGAGAUCACACUCAACUCCCUCUUCUCUCUAUCUCACAGUCUUGCUCUCCGUCACUCACCGCACUCCUCAAUCUUACUGCCCUCUUCCUCACUCCUGUACUUCUCCCCACUCACUUCCUCAUCUCUGAUCUGGCUCUCCAGCCCUUAUAGAGGAGAUCGUCCUCCAUGUGUGACAAUCAUCAUCCGCAUCCGUCUCUCUCUGCCAUUCUUUUCCUUCCUCCGCCUCUAUCAGAGACUUUGUCUCUGACAGAUUGUCAAUUGAGGCUGCUUCUGGAAGAGAGGAUUGAAAGGAUUGGCAGGGCAUUGAAGACUUGAGGCCUUGGGCUUUCUAUUUGGCUUAAUUGGCUGGCUCCAUGGGCUGGAUCCAACAGUUCUUUCUAUUGCACUAGAGUAUCUCUUAAUAAAAUAUUAGUAUAUUCAGGUUUGGUUUUAAGUAUUGACAUUUACGAACUUAUUGAACACACUAAGUUUCUUCCUUUACAAAGUAUUAUACCCAACUCUAAAGGCCAAAGUUAGAAUUAUUUUUCCUUUUUUUUUUUUGGAAUUAGCUAUCUUUUAAGUGGAACAACUUAUGUUUCUACCUGUAGUAUUUUAGUUUGUAUGUUAUCAAUUUUUAAUUUUUUAUUUCUCUUUUUAUUUUUAUUUUUAUUUUUAAUUUUUAUAUUUUUUGUUUUUGUUUUUGUUUUUAUUUUUAUUUUUUAUUUUUAUUUCUAUUUCUGUUUUCCUUUUUUGUUUCUAUUUUUAUUUUCUGUUUUUAUUAUAUUUUUGUCUGUUUUCUGUUUUUAUUUCUUGUUUCUAUUUCUAUUUUCUGUUUUUUUAAUUUUAUUUUUUGCUUUUUGUUUUUUAUUUUAUGUUUUUAUUUAUGUUUUCAGAUUUUUUGUGUUCUCAGUUUUUAUUUUUUAUUCGAUUUUAUUUUUUUAGUUUAGUUUUUUAUGUAUUUUUUUGUUUUUUUGUUUCUAUUUCUAUUUUCAUUUUUAAUUUCUAUUUAUUUUUUUAAUUAUAAUUUUAUGUUUCUAUUUAUGUUUUUAGUGUUUUAUAUGUUCUCAAAUUUUAUUUUUUAUUUUUAUUUUUAUUUUAUAUUUCUAUUUUUUAAUGUUUUUUCAUUGUUUUUUUAUGUUCUCAAAUUUUAUUUUUUUAUUUCUUUGUUUUCUAUUUUAUUUUUAUUUUUUGUUUUAUUCCUAUUUCUAGUUUUAGUUUUAGUUUUCAUUUAUAUUUUUUUUUUCAAUUUUCGAUUAUUUUUCUAAGUCUGUUUUUAAUUUCUUUUUAUUCAUUUUUGUUUUCUUCUAUUUAUAUUUUUUUUCUACUUCCUAAUUUCUUUUUUUUCUACAUCUAUUCCUAUUUAUGUUUUCUGAUUUUAUUUUUAUUUUUAUUUUUACUUUUUGUUUUGUAUUUCAAUUUCUAUUUUAUGUUUUUGUUAUCAUAUAAGAAUAUAAUGGCAGCUAUCUAAAAUAUUUGAUCUUAUUCAACCAUCUCGGCGUGAUGGGGUUCUAUCUAUUGCACUAAGUAUCUGUAUAAAAGAUUGGUAUUCUAGGUUUGGCUUUAGCUAAUGACAUCUAGAGUACACAGCCUAUUGAAACACGCUAUGGUUACUUCCUUUAUAGUAGUUUUAUCAUAGUACUCUAAAACGGCUAAAGUUGAAAUUUUUUUUUCUUUUUUUUGCAAUUGCAUCUUUUAAGAGGACAACUGCUCUUCCUACUGUAUAUUUAGUUUUUAUGUUCUCAAUUUUUUAUUUUUUUAUUUUUAUUUUUAUUCUCUCUUUUUAUUUUCUCACUUUUGUUUAUUUUUUUUUGGUGUUUAUUUUUAUAGUUUUAUUUUUUGUAUUUAGAUUUUUUUAUGUAUUUUUUGUUUUUGUUUUUUCUAUUUCUAUUUUUGAUUCUAUUUAUGUUUUCUGAUUCUAUUUUUAGUUUAUAUUUCUAUUUUUAUUUUAAAUUUCUAUUUAAGAUUUUUAUUUUAAUUUUAUGUUUCUAUUUAUGUUUUUCAGUGUUUUUAUGUUCUCAAAUUUUAUUUUCUAUUUUUUUUCUUAAUAAUUUUAUUUUUAUAUUUUUAUUUCUUUUUAUGUUCUCAUUUUUUAAUUUUUGUUUCUAUUUCUAUUUUUUUGUUUUAUUCUUAUUGCUAUUUUUAUUUUCAGUUUUUUAUUCUAUGGGGGGGGGGGGAGGGGUUUUUUCGUUUUAAUAAUCUUAUAUAUAAUUUUUGUUCUAUUUCUAUUUUAUUUUCUACUUUCUAUUUCCUAUUUUUGUUUUCCUAUUUCUACUUUUAUUUUCUACUUUUUGUUAUGUAUUUCAAUUUCUAAUUUAUGUUUUAAUUUUUUAUUUUAUUUAUGUUUUCAGUUAUUUUAUGUUUUUAAUUUAUUUCAUCUUUUAAUUUCUAUUUCUAUAUUUUUAUUUUUAGUAUUUAGUUUAAGUGUUUAAUUUUCUUUUAUUAUAUAUUUAAUAUUUUUUAUUCAAAUUCUAUUUCUAUUUUUUUUUCUGUUUUUUUUUUUUUUUUAUUUCUAUUUCUAUCUUGCGGGAUCAUAUUCUAUUUUUAGUUUUUAUUUUAAUUAUCUAUUUCUAAAUUUAUUCUUAUUUUGAAUUUUCUUUAAUUUUUAUUUUCUGUUUUUACUUCUCUUUUUCUUUUCUUUUCUUUUUCUUUUUCUAAUUUUUAUUUUUAUUUUUUAAUUCUAUUUCUAUUUGUAUUUCUGUUUAGUUAAUCUACUUCUAUUUUUUGAUUUCAUUUCUAGUUUAUAUUUUUAUUUCUGUUUUUAAUUUUUAUUUUCUAUUUCUAUUUAUUUAUUCAGUCUUUUUUAUGUUCUUAAAUUUUAUUUUUUAUUCCUCUUUAGAGUUUUGUUUUUGUUUUUGUUUUAUGUUUUCAGUUUUUUUUAUCUCAAUUUUUAUUCUAUUUCAGUUAAUAAUUCUCUUUUAGUUUUUUGUUUUCAUUUCUUUGUUCAGUUUUUAUUUUUAUUUCUGUUUAUAUGUAUAUGUAUUUUAUAUUUUUAUUUUGUUUCUGUUUCUGUUUUAUGUUUCUAUUUCUAUUUCUUUUUUAUGAUUCUAUUCCUAUUUCUGUUUUUAGUUUAUAAUUCUAUUUUCAAUUUUAAUUUCUUUUUUUAUGUCCAGUUUUUAUUUCUGUUUCUCUUUUUUUUAAUUUCUACAUUUAUUUUCUCUUUUUAUGCCUAUUUUUGUAUUCUAUUUUUUCUUCUUCUAUUUUUAGCUUUUAUUUCAGUUUUUUUUUCUAUUUCUGUUUCUAUUCUUGUUUUUUUAUUUUUUUAUUUUUUUAUUUUUUAUUUUUUAUUUUUAGUUUUAUUUCAACUUCUAUUUAUAGUUCUUAAUUUUUAUUUUCAAUUUCAAUUUCAAUUUUUUAUUUUUUGGUUUCUUUUUUUGUUUUUUAUUUUCAGUUUCUAUUUCUAUUUUUUUCAGUUUUAUUUCUAUUUCCAUUUAUGUUUUUAGUUUUUUAUUUUAUUUGUUUCAGUAUUUAUUUUCUGCUUUUAAUUUUUAUUUUCAGCUUCUGUUUAUGUUUUUAGUUUUUUUACUGUUCGCAUAGUUUAUUUUCUCUUUCUCUUUCUCUUUCUGUUUUUAAUUUUUAUUUUUAGUUUCUAUUUUAAUUUUUAAUAUUAAUAUUAUUUUUUUAUUUUAGUUUCUUUUUUAUUUCUUAUUCUUUACUCUUUAUUCUUUAUAUCUGUUUUUAUUUCUGUUUUUCUAUUUCUACUUUCGUUUUUGUUUUUUUUUUACAUUUUUUUUAUUUUUUUUUAUUUUUAUUUUUUUAUUUUUAUUUUUUUUUGUUUUCUGUUUUCGUGUUUUACAUUUAAAUCUAUUUUUAAUUUUAAGUUUCUAUUUCUUCAUUUAGUUUCAUGUUUUUAUUUUCAGUUUAUAUUUUUUUGUUUACUAUUUUUUAUCUUUUUCUAUUUCUAUUUUUGUGUUUUAGUUUACAAUUUAUUUUUUUUAGUUUUUUUAGAUGUUCUUAUUUUUUAUUUUUUAUUUUCAGUUUAUAUUUCUCAAUUUGCUUUUAGUUUUUGUUUUUAUUUUUUGGUUUCCUUUUUUAUUUUCAAUUUCUAUUUGUAUUUGUAUUUGCUGUUUUUGGUUUUUGUUAUUUUUUUUAAUUUUUUUUUUUUUGUUUUUAAAAAACUAAUUUCUAUCUCCGAUUUUAUUUUUAUUUUUUAUUUUUUGGUUUUAGUUUAAAAAAAAAAAAAUAUUUUUACAUUUUUUAGUUUUUAAUUUCUAGCGUUUUCACUCUGUUUUUGAUUCCAUUUAUUUUUAUUUUAUUUUUUAUUUUCAUUUUAUUUUUCGUUUCUCAUUUCUAUUUCUUUCUAUUUAUGUUUUUUUUCUAUUUCUGUUUCGAUUUUAUGUUUUCAAUUCAUAUUUCUACUUUUUUGUUUCUAUUUCGAUUUUCUGAUUGUAUUUUUAAUUUUAGUUUUUAUUUCUGUUUUUAGUUUCUCUUUUUUUUUAUUUAAUUUCUCUUUUUUUCUUUUUAUUUUCUUUUUCUAUUUUUUAUCUUUUUCUAUUAGUUUCUAGUUCUAUCUUUUUUCAUUUUUUUUCUAUUUUUAAUUUUUAGAUUUUUAUUUUUAUUUUUUUUCUAGUUCUAGUUCUAUCUUUCUAUUUCUAUUCCUAUUUCUAUUUAUGUUUUUUAUUUCUAUUUUUCAUUUAUUAUGCUAUUUUCAGUUUUGAUUUCUGUUUUCUAUUCUGUUUUUUGUUUUUGUUCCAAACAACUAAUAUAAUAAUUAUUUUUUUUUUUCUACAAACGGAUCUUGAAAUUUUUGAAUAUCGGAUUGAGAAACCCAAAAAAGUGAUUCCAUUCCGAAUUGAGGAUUCUAGCCAUCCAAACAGGACCUCAAUGCUUGGAAGUAUUGUUAGUAUUAGAAUUUUAACGGGUCAUCAAAUGGGGGAUGACUAUCGUAACUGCUAUAAACCCAAGGGGUUGUUUGGCUAUCGGAUUUAGAGGGAAUAACUUUUUUUCCCGUAAUUUUUUCUCGCCGGCGUUUGGGCUGACAGAUAUUGAGGUGGAUAAUUUAUGCCCCCGGAGGUGGAUAAGGCAGAUAUUUUUGGUGGGCCUAAACCCUAACUAAAAGUUAUCCCGGAAGCUAGUGGUCGGAGGAUAAGAAAAAAAUCUAUAAAGAAAAUAAAAUAUAUAAUUUUUUUAUAUAGAAGAGAGAAUACAAUAUAUAUUUUUUUUAUAUCUAAAUCUUUUAUAGUUUGUUUAUCUAUAUAUAUUUCUUCCAUCUCUCCACCCUUAUUCACCCAUUCUAAAAAGCAUCCAAAUAAAAUUAAAAGUUAUCCCCUCUCUAAAAAUUAUCCCAUUCUAAAAGUUAUCCCCAUCCCAUAUUCUUCUGCCAAACAAGCCUUAAAUAGUUGAGCAUCCACAUCAGCCUCAUCAAAUUAGAGCUAAAUUAUAACUUCAAAAUCACAUAAUUUAUUUUAACUAGUCGUUUUUUUAACACUUAAUCUGUUUUUCUAUUUUUCUAUUUUUCUAUUAUUUAUUUAUUAUUCUUUUACUAUUUAUUGAUUCUAUGCUAUAAUUUUUUUUUAACUCCCAUAGUUUUAAUAAGGUUUUUAUUGUGUCCCACGGAAGUAUUUCUUAAAAUAUAUAUUUUUCAAAACAAUCAUACGUUUUUUUAACC